UGGGGAAUCUUCCGCAAUGGACGAAAGUCUGACGGAGCAACGCCGCGUGAGUGAAGAAGGUUUUCGGAUCGUAAAACUCUGUCUUUUGGGGCGAACGUGAGUAUGGUGAACAAUCAUAGUCAGUGACGGUACCAAAGGAGGAAGCCACGGCUAACUACGUGCCAGCAGCCGCGGUAAUACGUAGGUGGCAAGCGUUGUCCGGAAUUAUUGGGCGUAAAGAGCGCGUAGGCGGGAUAGUCAGUCUGUUGUAAAGUGCGGGGCUCAACCCCGUGAUGGCAAUGGAAACAGCUAUUCUUGAGUGCAGGAGAGGAAAGUGGAAUUCCCAGUGUAGCGGUGAAAUGCGUAGAUAUUGGGAGGAACACCAGUGGCGAAGGCGACUUUCUGGACUGUGUCUGACGCUGAGGCGCGAAAGCCAGGGGAGCGAACGGGAUUAGAUACCCCCGGUAGUCCUGGCCGUAAACGAUGGGUACUAGGUGUGGGGGGUAUCGACCCCUUCCGUGCCGGAGUUAACGCAAUAAGUACCCCGCCUGGGGAGUACGGUCGCAAGACUGAAACUUAAAGGAAUU
rnacentral:rRNA from 1 species